GUUACGAGUCGGCCAACUCCGGCAUUUUCUUCCUUUCCGCACGCCCAAAAGUCUAUCCGUUAACGACAAAUUAUUCUAUUUUGUCGAUUUGUGUUGAUUGUUUUUUCACAUUUUAUUUAUUAAUCGAAUCAACCGAUUGUAAUUCGUACCAACUCGUGUAUAAUAUAGAUAGGAAGAAGUGGUCAUUUUUUGUGUGACGAUGAUGAUAA